UGCAUCCACAUUGACAGGAGAACUUGGCGUGGGGCUAGACUAAAAACAAUGCUGUUUAAUCAGGAUGCUGAUUGCCAUGGAGAUGUCAACCACAGGACUGGUUCUCUUAAGAAUUGUGGAAACACAAAUAAAAAGUUACUGCCACUUCAGUCUUCAGGUGACUUAGCAUCACCUGGAAUCCAACACCUGAAAAUGCAUCUAUCCUGCAUCAUCAUUAUAGAGUUUGCUCAACAACUCUUUUCUUCUCACAUGUAAUCUGACAAAAUCCUGCAAAGUUGUCCAAAUAAAC
rnacentral:lncRNA from 1 species